AAUGUUUGUUUUUAAAUUAACUGAUGCAAAUUAAAGAAAAAACGACUUUCGAUGGAGUGCAAGAAUAGAAUUCUAGUUGAUUUGGAGUUAAUGGGACCUUUUUGGAUUCUUCUCCCAGGAAGCAGAAAAAACUCAUGGUUUGAAGCAGAAAAAUUCUGCAGAUCAAAAGGUCUCGUUCUGCUUGCGCUCGAUUCAAAACUGAAAAUAACUCAGCUGCUGCUGUUUGUCGACUCACUUG